AUUUGAUUAGUCACAGGCUGAGUCACUUUCUUUGCACACUGCAUUGGAUUGUCUGAGUUACUUUAUGCCAUACGAAGGCAGGAAGAAGGCAGCAGGAGCUUUGUUCGGUUAAACAUAAGCCAAGUCAAGAGGACUUGAGGGGAUCUGGCACCUUGCAGGAUGAAGCCUAAGAACAGCUACGGUGAGACGUACCGCAGACCCGGGUGGUGUGCUUAGAAGAGGUUGGCCGGCUUCCAUUGCUUAUGCAAGGACAAAUAGCCAGGAGCUUCCCAGUGAGAGAGGGAGCAAGUGGGUCCCUCCAAGAGUCCCAGCAGGCACAAGCAGUGCUGGGGUUUCCUUGGAUGUUGGUGUAUGUGCCUGUGAGAAGCUGCCAUAGAGUUCUAAAGGACAAAUUUGGGGCAUUUUCUCCUCCAACAUACCUUAACCAUUAUCAAGUAAAUACCUGGUGCAACUGGACCAUUUGGGCAGGCUCCAGAAAACACAUAAUCAUUUAUGUCAAAGAAUUUAUGACUACCGAGGAUUGUGACACAAACGAGGAUAAGAUUGUGUUUGAAGGAGUCUCUUCAUUGAUCAAAAAUUCUGUAGUGUAUGCCUGUUGGAACAAGAAGAUAAAUGCUUUUGCCACCUAUGCCCAAGCUGUCCAUGUUGUCCUUCUGAGGAAGCAUGCUCCACACCAUAAAAACACACACUUUAAAGGCAAAUAUUAUGUAUUUGAACAUCAGGAAGAAGAUUCUAUUCCCAAAGAUGGUUUCAUUUCUGGGACUCCUCUUCGAAAAGUUGUCAAGAAAGCCAAUGACAGUGUUAUUAGAGCUAACAUAUCGGUGAUGAACGACAGAGAGAUUCUAGAUGACAACAUUGCUAGGACUGCCAUUAAGGAAAACCCUUUUAAGGCAACUGCACUUAAUGCAAACGCACAGCAGACGGUGCAUACAGACCCAAGUGUUACAGUUCUGGAAAGGCCUGUUCAGCUUGCACCUUGGUAUGAUACAUGGACUCCUAGUUUAAAAAUAGAACGUCCUGCCAUCUUGGAGUCUGAAAAGCUGUCUAUGAAAUUGGUGGUCAACAAAGAGAUGCAUUGCACUGGGGAAUCUCUUGGAAGUUCAAUACAAACUGCAGCAUCUGCUAACUGGCAGCUGUGUACUCCUGCCAAAGAAGAAAUUGUAGUGGAUUUCAGCGGUGUGUACAGACCAACAAGACUUCCAGGCUUACUUUCUGAUGCCCCUGACUUAAGUGUGUUUCCCUUAGUGGAACCCUUGAAACUCCUGGAGGUGAAAGGACCAGGGCAUAGGCCAACCAUAAAACCAACACAUCUGAAUUACCCUAUCCUGGCUACAUACUCACAGAUUCUACCUCAUGACAUCACCGAAACCAUAGAAGGAAAAAAUAUUGAUGCUUCACACUCCCAAAGUCUUGGCAGUGUUACACUGACAGAGGGGCUUCUGCAGUCUAAACUCUUGGCUUAUGAAGCAGUGAGCGGUCCUGCUGAUGACCUUGAGAAGGGUUUGUGGCCUACCCAUGGCUUGACUAGUCAGCAUGGCAUGGUACUUGAUCAUUUGCAAUUUGUAUUGGAGACUAAGGGAAUGGAUAGAUUGGGAAGCUGUCACAGUCGAACUAUGCCUGUGGCUGAAUUUGGAAGCCAUCACUCCCAGAUUCUAGAACAGAAAUAUCCAGAGGUUGAGUAUUUUGAAAGUUUUAGGAUAGCCACUGACCAAGAGAAAAUCAUGUUGGUCACUGCAGCACCACACAGCAUGUUGGAAGGCAAGAAUCACUUGAGGUUGCAAACCAAGCAAUCGGUGCCUUCAUCUGCUGUAGAGCAAGAAAACAUCCUUGCAAGUACAACAGGUUGCAUACCACAUACAAAGGUAUCUAAGCAACUAGCUGAUCAAAAGGCUGAUGCAUUAGAAGUACCCUAUUCAGCUGUAAAAUAUAUCCAACCUGUGGACAUAGCCACAGACCUGGUAACUGUCUUCUCAUGUGCAGAAGCCUCCUUUACACCACUUACCUGGGCAUGGGAAGCGGGGCCCACAGAACUGGAAUCUAUCUCCUUCCCAAGUGCAGAAGCAUUCCUGUCUCCAACAGUCUCAGAACUGGAGCCUGCCUUCCCCUUCCUAAGUGCAGGAGUGCCCCUCAUUCCUAAGGCCUUGGAGCUGGAGCCUGCCUCCCUCUUCCCAAGGGGAGAAUCCUUCUUUCCUCCUUCAGUCUUGGAACUGGAGCCCAGCCUCUUCCCAAAUGCAGAAACCUCUUGGCCCCCAAGGUCCUUGGAAUUGGAGCCUGCCCUUCCCUUCCCAGGGCCAGAAGCCUCCCUCACUCCCUCAGCCUCAGGAGAGCAGUCCAGUCUCUCCUUUCCAUGUGAAGACCCAUUUUUUACUCCAGUUGCCAUGGAUCUGGAAUCUGUCUUGACACUGGAGCCCGUCCUCUUCUUGCCAAGUGCAAAGGCCUCCCCUACUCCAAAGGUCUUGGAAACAGAGCUUGUCUUUCCCUUCCCAAACAUGGACUCGCCAACUCCGGUAGCCUCAGAAUUGGAGCCCAGUCCUGAAGAACUAGAGCUUAUCUGCUUUCUCCUGAAUGUAAAAUCUUCCCUUAUACCAGCUGCCAUGGAUCCAGAGCUGGCCUCUUCAAUGCUGGAGCCUGUCCUCUUCCCGAGUGCUGAAGCUUCCUUUAUGUCAGUGGCCUCAGAUGUGGAACCCAUCUACUUCCCAAGUACAGAAAACUCUCUACCUCCAGUGGCCUCUGAACUGGAGCCUGUCCCCACAGAAUUGGAUUCAAACUUUUUCUGGAGUGCAGCAGGCCCUCCCUUUCUAAGGGCCCUAGAAGUAGGGCCUGUUCUCCCCUUCCCAGGCACAGAAGCUUCCAUCGCCCCAGCAGGCCCAGAACUAGAAUUCGUCUUCCAGAGCGCAGAAGCCUCCUUCAGUCCAGUGGCUUCAGAACUGGAGCCUGCCCUCCGCUUCCUUCAUGCAGUGGCCCCCUUUCCUCCAGCUACUCGGGGUGUAAGUGCUUUAAAAGAUCAGCUGUCCUUGGGGACAGAAAGCAGCCACUACAUGGAUGCCCUCAAAGAGGCAGAGCAUGUCCUCACUAGUACAACAACAACCACGCCUCUUCCGACUGCUCGUGUGGAUAACCUGCUAGAAGCCAAGUUGCACGCAAGCCUGCUGGCUGACAACUGUGGGGUUCCAGGUUCUACAGAACGGGAACAAGAACGAGUCUUCCCAAACCCAACUAUUUCUCAGGAAAAGGGAACGUAUGCCCAACAGCUAAUAGUAAAGAGUGGGAGAGAAGAUGAAGGCAUCCAUUGGGUAGAAACUGUGGAAUCCAAAGCAGUUGAUGGAAAUCUCCUUUUCCCAAGUCUCUUCCCUGCAAUUAAGCAGCAAGUCUUAACCCCAGAACCUGAGUUUGAGGACCAUAUAAGUUGCUAUUCCUUGGUACCAAAGUCUUUCACUAACAUGCCACCAAUCUUAAUGGGGAUGGACCACAGAGGAGGGAAGCAAAAUGAGUUUCUAACUUCUAGCACCAGUGUUACACUGCCUCUGGUACAUGUAGACUCGCGCACUGAAGUCCAACCAACAGUGCCCAUGAAGGAGAUCACUCAAACAUGGAAACAAGCACUCCCACCUUGUAUGGAACAUCCCAAAGUAAAAGAUACUGUUGAGUGGAGAAGUGCCUCUCCAUUUACUAGUACUGGCCACACUGCUCCAGUGCUUCAAACAGGAAAAUUAGCAUUAAGAGAGAAGAUGGAUUUGGCUCCUGUCCAGUCCACCUCUAAUCUUGUAUCUGAGAGAGCAUGCAUGACAGAAAUGCAAGAACUCCCAAGUGAUGUUGGUCCCCCUGUUUCCUUGGAGUCAGGAUCACCUUGGCUGCUGGCAUAUCUUCCUAUAAAAAGCUGCCAUGUAAUCUUAAAAGAUGAUUUUGGGAAAUUUUCUCCUCCACACAGUGGGAUUCAAACCAAUAUCUGGUGCAACUGGACUAUUUGGGCAGGCCCUAGAAAGCAUAUCUUGAUUUACAUCAAAGGAUUUCAGGGAAAUGGGGAUUGUGAUGAGAAUUGGGAUAAAAUAAUUUUUCAAGGGGUCAUGUCAAAUGUGGAAAGGAAGAUGGCUUAUGCCUGCAAGAACCAAGGUACUUUAAUCUUUGCUGCUCGGGCCUUGGCAGUCCAUAUAGUAUUUUUAUCAGGGAGAAAUUUCCUAAGCCAGGAAUACAAAUUUAAGGGAGAGUAUUAUACAUUCAAAGACUAUGAAACUGCAGACUCCAUAGAUGUUGCUUCUGAGCAGGGUCUUAAACUGCAGUCUAGGAAAACUAGUUCUAGUGGUAUCCUACUUCACCCUAAAUUGCCAAAAGUACACUCCCGACGCCUGGGCUUCCAAAAAACUACUACAGCUCCUAAUGAUCCAAAUAAAUUGCACAAGCUGCCCACAGACCAAGAAGCUGGAAAAGCUACAAACUUAGAAAUUCUCAGAAACCAGAUUCUUCAUAAUAACUUGCAUGCCUAUCUCUCUCAAGCCAUGGACAGCACCACAUCACCCACUCCCUUCCCAAAGGGGGAGAAGCCUAUGAAUUUGGGGGAUAACAAAAACUAUAGUAGGGAAGAGAAGCCUUCUGACUUUCUAAAGAAAACUCCAGGUCUAAAUAUCUCUGUGGUGAGUGCCACAAAAGAUGAGAAAAGGCCGGUGCUUGUUUUUCGUAGACUUCCGUACAGGGUAACCAUCCAUUCAGACUGGCUGUUCAAACCUUUGGGUAUGAAACAACCCAAAAAAUCCACUGAAGUAGAAAGUGUAAGCACUUCCAGAAAACUGGGACCACAGCAUGACUCGGCAGUUCACCGGAGACCAGCUGGCCCAGAAGAUCUGCAGUCUGACGUGAGACCGUAUGAAGCUGAAAUUUCUACCUCUCGUCAUGCCUAUCAGUCUUUAGAGGGAAUGAGGGAGAGAACUCAAACCGUUGCUCCUCAGACUUUCAGAGUUGACCUACCCAAGGACCAAAAGACGCUGCAGGCCAAUGCUGUGGAUUUGCAGGGAGUGAUUCAUGACCACAUUCGUUCGCUGGAAGACUCUUGGUCUAACGCUGACCUGACCAAGGGGAUUAAAGAAGCAACUGGUCAAUUGCAACACAUAACAGAGUUGGAGAGAAAUGUUAAAAAGAGCAGUACUGAUCAGGAAGCCUUUGGAGAUGACAAUGGCAAAGCUAAUCUGUACUUUAAGUCAGCUGUUGCCUAUACAGAAAUGAAACUUGGUGUCCAGUCUCUUACCUCGGAAACAUCAAAGCCUGAUAUCAAAACCGAGUCAGUUCUGAGUCCUGCAACUGUACAGAACACCCUGGAUGUUUCUUCCCUGAAGGCAUCUAGCAGUUACUGGGCAGACGCCACUGAAUUUUGGGGUGUUGCGAGGAACGUCCAGAGUGACCUGUUGGUGGCUGAAGCAGCUACCUCUACCCUACAUGUUGACAGUAGAAUAACCAGAAUGAAAGAGCAUCUGCUACUCGCAAGCACAAAAUCUUAUCCUUUCUCCCCCUCCUUUGAUGGGAUAACAAAGCAUAUUGAAUCUCCAGAAGAAGAUGCGCAUGAUUCCUCUGAUUUGGCUUCUCUCCUGGCAUCUCUUGAAAAUGAUACCACUCUAGAAUCCCAGCAUAAGCCCGGUGAUAUCUUAUUUGAAGUCACUACUGAAAUGAAACAUGAGAUACGGAUCCCACAGAGUAGAAAAAAGAUGAAAAAGGCUCUCCUCGAGUCCAUGAAGCUUUACAUACAAGAGAACCUGAAACUCUCUGCAAGCAAAGUCAACAAAAUAAAGUUGAAGGAAAUAAAGAGGACAAAUGACCAAAACCUGAGGCUUACCUUCUGGCUUCACUUAAAACCAGAAGAAAGGAAUAUAUCUCUCUUACUACAUUCUCAGCUGAAAGAACUCAUUGGAAGAUCUGUGGGAGAAAAGAAAUUGCAGCUGACAUCACUGUCAGUUGAAGAUGUGAAUGAAUGCAACUCUGGAAUUGGAAUCUGUGGUGACGAGGCAGACUGCUUCAAUGGAGUUGGCACUUACUUAUGUCGUUGUAAAAAAGAGUAUGAAGAUCAUUCUCCCACAAAAUCUGGCACACUGUGUAUCCGUGUUCCACGAUCAGAUCUUGGCAGCUUGUUCAGUUACGUGGAAAUUCUGAUAGGUGCCAUCAUAUCUGUCGCACUGAUUCUUGUGGUGGCGGUUAGCAUUACAUGCAUGGUAGUAAAGAAAAGACGUACAAAGAAGGACUUCUGUCUCCAGGAAUCUUCUCCAAGUGGGACACCUUACACAGCACAGUCACCACCCCAGGUGCCUGCUGUUGAUCUGAGUAACCUUGGUGACUACCUGGCCCGAGACCCCUUUCAGCCAAAACUUCGCGCCAGACCUCCCGAAUGGACCUUGCGGAUGCGAGACAACCCAAAUGAGGCAUACAGGAUUUUUGUUGAGCAGUCUGAAUGUCUGUAAAGUAAAGCUGCAUUGCCAAUUUGAGAUUUUUGAGCAGGAUAAGCUCUGACACCAGUAUAAAGCUUUCCUGCUGCUGCUAUCCCCCCCGCACCCCCUCACAGCAACAAAACUCCUAACAAUCCUGUGAGUCUUUUUCCACUUGUCCUCAGUCCCUAUUGCUCAGGGUAUAGCGCUGUUUCUCCCAGGAGACUCCUAAUUCUUGGUUGGGUUUUUAAUCCCUAUACUAUCUGGCUUUGCACACGAGACUACUUGUAAUCUGAAAGAGUUGCACUUUUUUGCAGGCAACCUGUUAAGUAAGUAAAGCUGCUAUCUUGCUGUUCAUGUAAACAAGGGACAUGUUUCUGUUGGAGUUAAAUGUGUGGCACAGGGGAAGGAUGGAAGGCUGGAAGGCUUAAACUAAUGGAAAAAUUAAAAAAAAAAAAAAAAGAAAGUCAAGCAAGUUGCAUCCCCUCUGAGCAAAUAAAUAGGCAAAACCAACAAGCUGUACUGAGCUG
ensembl:lncRNA uncharacterized LOC109319559